rnacentral:lncRNA from 1 species
GCCAAUCCGGCUGGCACCAAGCGACCAACCAAAUUUUGGGCAAGUCGACCGGCGCCUAGCGCCGCCCUUGGAAAUGUCAUUGUAUCGAUGCUAACGUAUUUUUCAAUGUACUGGAUGCACUCAUGGAACAUGUAUGUCAAUCCUUCCUUUUAUUCAAUCACCCAACAACAACCUAAUGCACGACUCAACAGCACAUGUAAGAAGAAAGUAUACUUGGCCGCAACGUGAACAAGCACACUUAUGGUUUACAUAUUGAGGUUACAAAUUAACCUGCCACAACAUAAACUAACGUACAAGACAGAAACACAAUUAACUUCAUCAUUGCCAGACAACAUGGAUCAGAAUGAAAAAAAAUAAAAUAUAGUAAAAAGAACAUGGAUCAGAACGCGGCUGCUCUCACCACUUUUGAGGCUAUUUCUUAGUAUUUCUUAGGCUGCGGCUGCUUCUUCUUAGCUAUCCUCUGUUUUUGCGAGUCAGCUUCAGAUCUUUCCUACGAUUACGCGACUUUUUAGGUUUCUUUGGUUGUGCUUUGGCUUAUUGGGUGGCGGCGGCGUUCGCUUGUUAUGGGGAACCGUUGUACCUGGAACCUUUGUACCUGUCUUCUCCAUGACGCCUCCUCCUCCUACUCCUCCUCUCCCUCCUCCUCCUCCUCUCCUUCUUCUUCUUCUUCUUCUUCUUGUGCGAGGUAGAUGAGGUGAGGUGGAUGUGGUGUUUGUUUUGCACCGGUUGGUUUGUGGUGUUCUGCAGCAACGGCGCGUGCAUAUAUAUAGGAGGGAUAAGGAAUUGGGAAAGCGCUCUGGCCGGACAACGUGGUUUCAUCAAAGGAAAAUGGUUUGGUGGCGUCCCCAGUGCUGCUGUUAGUCAGUCUCUUUUGUGUCGUUUUGGGGAGUAGAUAUGUAUAUUCGAUUCAUUUGUUCUUGGCGGAUAGGUAUGCAGUUGAGACAGUGGUCUUCGUUUCCUCUUCUCAUCCUCCUUAUACUAUAGCUACAUCAGAAUAAGUGUUGGUGGUCAUAUUUUGCUAGCAUAUUCCACACGGCUUGUUACUUGUUAGACCAUCUUCAACGGCGACCGCAGAUUACCUCCAACAUCCAUCCAUGGACAAAGAGGAUCAGUCGUCCGUGGACAGAGAUAUGGGAGCCGGCUAUCCAACACUUCCCGCAUACAUUUCAAACACUUUUUCAACAACCCGGAUGUACCUCAUGCAAACACAUCAGAUUUCAUACAAACCUAGCGAAAACAUUUAUAUUUUUGACAUAUUUUAACUGAAAAACGCAUGUACGACCACACAGAGGUCCACUACCAUGACACAGAUACAUUACACUAGUCUACGGCCGGCCGCGGAGAAUCCCUUUGUCUUCCCCUUGUCAGGCAGUCCGGUGACUCAUCGGACUGCCGGGUGCCAAGGAGGUAUAUUCCUCCCCCGUAUCUUCCCUAUGUCUGGCUGCGCCGCUUAUCGGAGUGGCAAAGAGGGUGCUUCAGUCGGAGGGGAAAUGGGAAAUCCUCUACCGUGAAGCGUGGAUCAGGGUUGGUUUUUGGGGCAGGGGAAGAUGGUGGCCCGUGAGACAGGGCGAGACAUUUGUUGUGCAUGCAGCGACGUAGCGGCGGUGGCCUUCCAAGGACCCAAGUCGGCGGGCUCUCAUGUUCUACUUUUCCUCGAUGUUAUUGGCGGACGCGGCCGUGCUGGCCGCCGCCUUGCCGAUCUCCAAGCUGGCUUCUUUUUCCAUCGACAAGGCGCGGUCCUGCGAACGAUGAUGUCAGAUGGCUCGUAUCUGGAGGGUUCGGCAGGCCACCCAGCCAGAUUUUAUACCGGGCUCUUCCUACACGCCGAAUGUCAUGAAAAGAGUGAAGAAAAUAGUGGAAGGAGGAGAUGGGGAGCGGAGGAGAGGUGCGAUUGUUGCCCGGCGUCUGGCCUCCUUUAAAUAGCGAGCAGGUGCGAGGAAAUUUCCCGUUGUUGUGUUUAAUGCUGACCGGAUCAUGAACAUAUGUUUGGCUGGAGUAGCUUUCUCGGCACACACGCGGAUUUAAUGGAGGCGUGUUCAGUCGGGCGUGCAGCGGGCGACGCCAUCGGCCAGCGUGCCACUUUAAUGCCAAAGCCAGUGAGACGUCGCGCUCGCUCUGGGAUAGCUUCAAUGUGGGAGCAAACGCUCAACGACAACAUGAAUGAGGACAGCUGACGCCGGGCAGGAACGCGUGCCGGUGAGGGUGUGGAUUGGCAUCGGUGGGCUAGGGUUUCCAAAAGUGGGCGUGGGAGCAGUCCAGACGCCUGCAAAGCCCCCAUGCUUGUCUUCGGUUUGUGAGAGAAAGUGCGUCUCAAGACUGAACGGACCGAUACAGUUGCAUGGCAAAACACGUCCCCUCCGCCUGGUCCAGACGUAUGUGGAUUUAAGGGUCGUCGUUGGAGAUGCCCUUACUCAUGAGCGAUUUUGACAUGGUUCUUCUUACCUCCUCUUUGACAUGGUAGGUAAGAAGGUAAGAGUUACUGACCAACUACUUAAUUAAGGGCUCAUAUCUAUUACAUACGUUUUCCCUUCAUACGAAAAGAGGAGGUUAGAGAAAUCAUGUGCACCUACGCCAUGCAUGAUUUAUGGCGUAAGUAUACACGUAGCUGCCGUUGUAUAAGAUGUUCAGGUAGAGCUUGAGUUUGGAUUAACUAAACCCAUUGUAAUAGAUCUUAGCUCAUUAAUUAAUGACUUGAUUAACUCUCACACUACUAGAAAAAGGGCUGUUAGUGGCGCACCUGUUUUUGCUAUUUGUAGUGCGCCACUAUUAACACGCCACUAGUAACAAAUAGUAAUGGCGCACCUCUUGUGCGCCACUAGUAUCCCAGAUAAUAGUGGCGCAUCAUACAGUGCGCCAUUACUAUGUCCACCAGUGCGCCAUUACUAUGCCUCCCAGGGGGCCAUAUUUACCUUGUGCUCUGAGUUACUAAUGGCGCACUUUCAGAUAAUGCGCCACUGAUGUGUUUAUUUCAGUGCGCCACUAAAGUGCAAUAUGGUGCGCCACUACAAUGAAUAUUAGGAAUUAUCUUUUUUUUUUCUUAUCUGAUAUUUGCACAGGUUACAAAAUACAUUACUGCACAGAAUAUAAACAGCACAACAUAUAAACAACAGAUUUAUUGAGUACAAUAGAAGAUUAGUCUCCGAAUACAAUUCAUCAUAUUAGCCUCCGAAUUCAAAAUACCGAACAAAGUUAUAACAUUACAAGCCUCGAGACCGCGAGUAGCGAGUUUGUCUUCACAUUACAAGUCGAUAUCGAUCAUCUAAACUACCCAUCACAUAGAAGAGAGCUGCGGUCAUCGCGAUGAAACUGGUCUUCACCCGGUUCCUCCAACGCUCCCUCCUCUCUCCGGCUAGUUAGCGCGCGUAUCUAGCUUCCGCCUCCGCCCUUGUGGUGUACCCUUUGUAACUGUUACCGCUGAAACGGUGAACCUGUCUCUGACACUCCUUCCAGUCAUCGUAGACUCCGGGAACCUUACCCUUGUACACAACAUACGACGGCAUAUCUAUGCACUAGACAAACAAAACGUUAGUAGCAAUUCACAGACAAUACAUAAGCAAUAUAUAAGUAUGCAACAAAAGGAUCGGAAGAGAAAAGCAACACAUUAAUAGCACGAUUCAUGGUCCUACUAAUAAAUAGCAUCGAUUACAUAUAAGUUGAACGACUGUCCAAACUAAAGAGACAUACAAGUUCAUUAAAGUUUAAUUACAACAUGAGCUAAUCGAUAUUUCAGAACUACAUAGCAUCACUGCUUUCGACUCGACUCAGGGACCGGAGCGUGGAUGAAGCCGCCGUCUAUCGUGAUGGUAAUGAAAUCACGGUCGUUGUCAGCCUGCAUUUGUAGCGUUGUUUUUAUCUCACUGUUGGACAGUUGAUAUCUAAGGUGGAACUGCCCCGAGGUACGAAGGACAUCUUGAUGGAUGAUUUCCGCAAACAACGAGUGGAUGCGAAAGAAUUCUUGUCUGAUGUCCGCGUCCUGAAUUACCGACAAGCGUGCGGCCCAAUCUUUGAGAUUAGUUGGUAGCAGAAGGUGAUUAUGGUCCCGUACAAUCGCCCGCAUGUGAUGGAGGGCGUAGUAGGCAUCCUUCUGACCGCCAGGCAGCUGCUUGACGCAGGGAAACAUCGUAUUGUGGGUGAACACGUGCUUGCCUUACCUACAAAUUGGCCUCCUGAAGGUGCCUCCAGAUCUGGCGUAGCCGGGGAGAGCUUCAUCAAGAACUUUCUUAAUAUUUGUGUAGUCUUUCUUUGACUGACGGUCCGAGUCAAAAUACGUGGCCAUGGAAUAUUUCGGGCUUAAGAGGAUGAGUGUGCAAUGUGUGUCACUGCACAAAACACGGAAUGUUAGAAAAAAAAAGAACGAUCGAAAUCUAAGAAAUCAUAUGUUACGGGUAUCUGGGUUCGCCAGAAUGACGCCUUCGAGGUAUGAACUCGCGACUUGCCGGUCCCCAGCGCUGCCCAAGAUCUUGGUACGCAUGUAGAAGGAGUCGACUAUCAUGAUGCCCGGGGUCUUGUCUCUAAUGAUCCGCAUCUCCAUACUGAGCCAAAAUAGCCGAAUGAAGGUGUAGUGCAGCGGAUGAAGGUUAAACAUAGCGAAGAUGUCAUCAAACCGCAGGACGAUCAUACCCCCGAUGGUGCUAUCGACAAAGCCCUUGCCCUCUGGCACCUUGGCCACGAAAACCGGGUAUGCCACAUCAUUCUCGGAGAGACGCCGCUUCUCCAAAGAAAGAACACUGUCAUGCAGACUCCGCAUAGCACCGAUUGCAGCAUUGAGAAGAUUAGUCGGUAGCAUCGGCCUACCCGCCACAUGCACCCUCCUCGAGAUAUCCUUAGGUGAAGGUGGCCCGUCCUGAGCACGGAUCGUACUCGGUGCCGGCUGGCUCGCACCCUUGUUAUUCUUUCUUUUCCAUCCUUCUUCUUCUGCUGUAAUGGGAUCGAGUUCUGCUCAGAGACCGCCUUCUUGAGUGUGUUGGGGUUGAUAAUAUUUCGCACCUCGGCUAUCUGAGGCUCGGUGAAGGCGGCAGCUGGAGGCGUCUCCUAAGAACUGAACACCAGACGAUGCCUGUUGCAAUUGGGUUUCUCCGCGGUACCAGCUUGAUCGCGGUGGUCUUUUGCAGGGUUGGGUUCUUGAGAAGGAGGCCCCAAGAAUUCGUCACCGUACCCAUGUUCGUUGAAGUACUUAUCGACGUUGGUAAAUGUACCGUCGUCGUCUGGAUCCUGUGCCAUAUGCAUGUCCGGAUCCUGUGCCAUAUGCAUGUUCAGCAUGUCCGGCAGCGUUGCGGGGGUCUUGCCAUGGCUUGGCGCCAGCACGACUGGCGGUGUUGUCUGUGGGGUGGUGUCCCCCGCCCCCAAACGAAUCUGGCAAUUCGGCCAAAGCAGGGGCCAGCUUAAGCAGGCGCUGAGGGUCAUCACAUCAUCUUCGUCGGCCCCAGGGGAUCGAAAUGGAGGUAACAAGUCGUCGCAGCCCGGCAGCACCCAAACCAAUUGAACCCUAUACACGGUGGGUGGCAUCAGAUUACCAUGGAACACGGGGUUGCCCGAUUGAACGAUUCUGGCCUUGGCGACAUCGAUCAACUCGCCACCCACGAAGUGCAGGAGAGUGCAUGGAACAUCGGCGGCGCCCUGCGAAAACAUGUAGGGCGUCAGGGAUGCCCAGUCAAAGGCAAGGAGAUGAAGUCAUCGGCCAAGAGGCUUAGUUACCAUGAUGGCGUCUUGCUCGGCUAAUGUCGAGGCACCGCCAACGGCGGGCGUGCAAGUGACAGAGGGCCGCUUGCUGCCGAGGUGCCGGCCGGCGUAUUCUUCCCACAGCCGAGUGCAUUAAGCUCCAAUGCCCGUGCCGGCGCCAGAGACACCAAUACUGCCUCCGCCGGAGACACCAAUGGCGCCGCCGGCGCGUUGUGCGAGUUGCUGCCCGUGAAGCUAGGAAUCGGGGGCGGCCCCUGUUGGCCGCCCGCAAUCCACGCCUGCAGCCCCUCAAUCAAGGUAGGCACAAUGGCGGUGAUCGUCGCUCCCAGUUGGUCUCGCACUUGCUCUUGGACUAUCUCCGGAAUCUGCGCCACUUGUGCCUUGAGUUCUUGAACCUCGCACUCCUGGCUUUCCGAGUUGGUCUUUCUCUCCUUUCGCCCAGCGUUAUAGUAUUCUGACCAUUUCGUGGACAAGCCUUUGCCGGCCACACGACCAGCUGAUGACAGCUUACUGAACUAAUCCUUGUGUUUCAUUAAGUUCAACGCCCUAUUUAAAGUGGUGUCCCAAGGGGAGCUCUGAGACGACCCCGCGCUACAGCUUUUAGUGUCUUGCGGAAGGAACGUCAACCAUUUAGAAAUUUGGCUUCAUUAAUUAGAAUGCAACCAUAUGGAGCUAAUUACGCGGGGGUGUAUUCCUUUCCAGAACAAGCUCAAGCACCUUGGUCUUCGGAUCCGUGGUAAGCUCCUUUAUUACCGGGUCCACCUUGUACCGGGCCCUGACAUAGUUCCUAGUCUACUUGUCACGGUAUUUAUCGAAGAGGGGCGGUAGGCCUUGCUCGGCACGCUCUGCGUCCUCCUUGUCCCAUAUAGGUUCCGCCACUUUGUAAUCGCCGGGACCGAUAUUUUGGACCCCUAAGUUCAAGUCCCGCAUAUCUUUCCCCCACUGACUUGAUUCCACGGCUGCGUUGCUCUCGCACUUGAUCUUGAACUCCCGGUAGUCAGCUUCGCUGAUCGAAGGAUUUGUAUCCUUGAUCUUCUCAUAACUAUCACCUCUUAGAAUCCUUCUCCUCACCGCGGCUCUCCAAGUAGCCAGGGCCAUGCUCAUCUUCGUGAGGGCGGAACUGUUCACUUUAUUCCCCGAGAGGCGUGUGUUUGCGAAGUCACCGGGGAACUUGUAUCGUUCGUGCAGCUUCGUGAAGAGGAGGUUGCGCAAAUUCCCUUGGUCACGAUGCCUUAGGUUCUCGGUGUUGAUCGAUACGGUGCUCCGGAGAAUGCACCCGAGUUGUCCCGAGUACCCACUUACUAAUUCUUUAGGCACCGUUGGAUGCCCACUGGAGGACACUUCAGUAAAUUCCUGCUUGAUGGUGCCGAGCACGUUUGGGCGCCGGUCCUUCUGUUGCCUCUUCGGUUGGCAGCCAUCUGUGCGUGCACUGCCAUCAUCAGUGGUGGCAUCCUCGGCGGCACCAUCAGUGGUGUCAUCCCCGACGCCACUAGGGGUUGUGUAGUCAGGAUCGGUGUCUUCCGCGGCGUCCUCAUAGCGGUGAGGUUCUUCCUGCAUCUCCUGGGACAGCUCCCAGAAUGCCUUACCCGAACCACCGGCCUCAUCGUUGUGGGCCAUGUUCGCUCUAAAUAGGAAAAAAGUUUGGUCAAAAAGUUGGUUAUUGUAAAGGAACAAGAUCUCUAAGUUGACCAAAUAACCUAAUUCUCGAGGAAUGUCACCAAAAAGUUGGUUAUUGUCAAGGAACAAUUGAGAGAUGUUUGUGAUAUUGUCUAGGUGUUUUGGGAUGGAACCUGUUAGUGUGUUGUUGCUAAGGUCCAAGUCCACGUACUCAAGGUCUAAGAUAAUUUAAUCAGGGCAAUUGCAGUGGAUUUGUGCACAAGCUAAGCUAGCUAAGACAGUAGCUUCCUUGCAACCCACAAAAGACAAAGGAAAAGGGGUGAAAAGGGGGAGAUGGUUAGCUUUGAUGAGCAGGCAUCAUCUUCCUAACCCCCUUCUUCUUGUCUCCUCUCACUAUCUCUCUCACACACAUGGCAAGCAAGGGUGUCUGAGUGUGUGAAAUAAUACUAAACUAAUCCAACCACUAAAGCACUAGAUCACUACUAUUGUAUAAUCUUUUUAUAGCUUUGUAUAUAUGUAUGGCUCCAAUGGGUGCCACUGCCAUGCAUCCCUCUCCUAUCAUUUAAUCAUGAUUAGCCCAUCAUUUUGUCUAGAGAUUAGUUUUGGUUAAUUAAUUAACUAGUGUGUGCCACAGCAGAGCACAGAUCUCCAUCUAGCUAGUAGGAGUAGCUUUCCAAGGCCUCUUUCCAAGGCUUGUUUCGGUUGAGAAUCGGGCACCUUCUAGGUCAAGAAAAUUGGGCAUGACAUUUGCUAAUUUUCUUGACCUAGGAGUGCCCCAUUCUCAACCGAAACGGAAAUUAAUCAACAUUUCAGGAGAAAGGGGCCAUUUCAAAAGAUCACAAGUAGCAGAAGCAUCACUUGACAAAAUCACAAGUAGCAGCAGCAUCACAAGUAGUACAGCAGCAACAUCAUCACAAGUAGUACAGCAGCAGCAGUGAAUACAAUGCGUACAGCAGCAGCAUCAUCAUCACAAGUAUUGUGAUGCCCCUUCAAACAAGAGUUUCUUGCUCUCUCUUUUUUUUUUGACAUGAACAAACAAGGGUUGCCAAUUGAAACUAACUUGUGAUGAUGUUGUUCCUUUAAAGUGCAGUUCAGUAUAUGUAACAAAAAUCAGGUGACAAAACUUGCACACCCCUCUCCGCUUAACGAGGCAAGGAAACAGUGCCAGGAUAGCAACCAAACACUGUCCAGGCACAGUUUAGGGAGGCUCCAAGCCAGACACGAUUCAGUGUGGACACUAUCCAAACACACCCUACAUGACUGUGGAUACUUGUAAAAACUUGGUUUAGCUCCUUUCACACAUAUAUAAGCAGUUGGGAAAAAGACACAAUUUCCUGUAAGAACUUGAAAAAGAAACUAUGCCAUAUGUACUUCAAGACUUCAAGUAUAUAGCCAUAAAAAAUAGUUCAUGCAUGUAUGAGCCGUGGAUCGUGCUGUUUCCGAAAAGAGUAAACCCACGGGGGGCAACUUACCUGUGAUUUCAGGCUAAUUGUAUUAAAAUUUGAAGCAACUACUAUCAGACAUGUAAAAAAAGGUGCUAUAUCUCUCUUGUGCUAUCUCUCUCUUGCAAAAAAGUGCAGUUCCUUUAAAGUUUCAAAUAUGCACUUGCAUUGCAUUUAAACAUGCCCAUUGGGUGUGGGUGAACCAUUCAGAACAAUCAGCCAUGGCAAUGUCACAUUUCAGCACCAAAGUGGCUUGCACUUCUUUUUAGUUGAACUUUUUUUAAUAGACAAACAACUAAAUGCUCAGAACUACUACUACUACCACUAGAUCAUUUUCCUCUAGAACAGAACCAAACAUUUUUUUAUAUAAAAAUACGUAGUUCACAGAUUUUGGCACAAGAAGUCCAGUUCAUGUCGUACCAACAAUGCUUAAAAUAGUUGGCCAAACAAAAAAAUUAACAGUAAGGUGCAUUGACUUUUUCUUUAAAAGGUUAAGGUUAUACUUGAAGAACUAAGCUCCAGGUCCACUACAAACAAGUUUCAGUUCCAAGUUUGGCACUUGCUGUCCGACACAAGCCACAGCCCCCUUGAACAUUCAGCAAGUGCACGAAACAAACGCAUGUUACAAGACCAAAAACAUAUUGGCGCAUCAAUUGGAAGCCAUCCAUCAUAUACCAUCAGAAAAAGGCUAGAGAGAAUUGGGGAAACAAAGGUGAACCUCUCUCUUCUUGCACUCCUUGUAGUUGUCGAACUGUUGCUAGCACUUGCUCUUGUCCUGGUUGGUCUCCAGACCUGGAGACACGGCACAUCAUUAGAGAUUUCAUCAAAUACACACGAAAUUGUCCAGAAAUUAUGGCCAGAAAAUGAACUGGGGGUGAUUGGAUUAGAAAUUUAGGAUUAGGGGCGGAGGAUGCGCGUACACUUGAGGGAGGCGGUGUAUUGGGGGAAGCAGGAGGAGUCGGCGAUCUGGGCCGCGCUGGGUUAGGUCCGGAGUUGAGGUGGAGCGGAGACCGGAGCUGAGGUGGCCGGUGUUGAGGAAGAGGGGGGCGACGGGGAGCGGGCCGGCUGGUGGUGGAAGCCCCAGCCUAGGCACGGGAUCAGCUCCGAGGGAGGAGAGCGCGAGGUCGGCGGGGACGGGGGAUCUCCAGCUCGAACGGAUCCUCCAAGACAGCGUAGCGGAGCUUGGCGCAGCUCCUAGGCACAACGACGGAGCACGGGGCAGUCGGUGGCCGCGGUGACGCGUGGCGGCCGCGCUUGGGGAGGCGGGAGCCGCGAAGGGUUCGGUCGGCUGGGCGCGCCGCGGCGGAGGGCCGGUAGCGGCGGCUUGAACCCUAGGUCUCGCGCUCGGGAAGGGAUCCGGUGGUGGGCUCGGGGAGGAGGCGGCGNNNNNNNNNNNNNNNNNNNNNNNNNNNNNNNNNNNNNNNNNNNNNNNNNNNNNNNNNNNNNNNNNNNNNNNNNNNNNNNNNNNNNNNNNNNNNNNNNNNNNNNNNNNNNNNNNNNNNNNNNNNNNNNNNNNNNNNNNNNNNNNNNNNNNNNNNNNNNNNNNNNNNNNNNNNNNNNNNNNNNNNNNNNNNNNNNNNNNNNNNNNNNNNNNNNNNNNNNNNNNNNNNNNNNNNNNNNNNAAGGGGAUCGGCGGCGGUGGCGUGAGGGGAGAAGGACGAACGGGUAGGCGAGGGGCGAGAUGGGAGAGGCGAGGGACGAGGGGUGGAUAUUUUAGUGGGGGAAGGUUAGCAAUGGCGCACCUCCUAGGGGUGCGCCAUAAAUACCGUGAUAGCAAUGGCGCAUCCUCCCCUGGUGCGCUAUUACUAACUUUUUUUUGGAUAUUUAGUUGCAUCUAAUAAUUUUUUAGAAAAUAACGAUCAAAUUUGAAAACAUUUAUGAAUGUGAAAAAUAUCAUCAAAUUUGAAAACAUUUAUGAAAAAACAUGAAUAUGAAAACAUUUAUGAAUAUGAAAAAAUAUCAUCAAAUUUGUUAUUUGAAAAUAUAUUUUUUGGAUUUUUAGUUGCAUUCAUUUGUGAAUUAGUAAAACAUUUAUGAAUAUGAAAAAAUAUCAUCAAAUUUGAAAAAAUAUUCAUGAAUUCAAAAAUGCCCAUGAAAUUUAACAAUAUUCAUGAGUUCAAAAAAUAUUAACAAAUUCAAUACUUUUUGUGAGUUAGAAAUUCAAUACGAGAAUAAACAUAAAUAAAAAUUGGUAUACCGGAAUAAACAUAAAUAAAUAUUCAUGAGGACUAGAACAGAAGAAAUGUCAUUUCCAUAUGUCGAAAUACAAUCGAGAAAUGAAGAAUACAAUUUAAAUACAAUCGAUCUUAGCUAGCUAUCUUUUCACAAUCUUCUUGUCCUUUUUCGCAAAUGGAGUUCUUCUCUUGAACAGACGUCCUUUAGGUAGGAUGGUCCUGCUGCUUCUUGUGGUGUAUGGUACUUCAUCGUCGUCAUCAUGUUCCAUCUUCGGGUCGCCGUACUUGUCGAAGUCUUGCUCAUUGGCGACUCUAUCCAUUCCGAUGAUCUUCAUUUUGCCUCUCCUCACGACAACACGACUGGGCUUUGACAGGUCCGUAAUGAAGAAGUAUUGGUCCACUUGGGAAGCCAGUACCCAUGGCUCAUUUUUCGCAGUGAUAUUUGCGUCCGCGGUCUUGGAUUUGGCUUCGGGUAUAACCAUGGUGGUGAAAUACGGGUGUUCUUUUAGGACGCUCUUGGCCCAUCUGACACGGAACAUCGGGACCUUCUCUCCAGCGUAGCUCAGCUCAUAGAUCUCCUCGAUCCUUCUGUAGUAUAUGUCCUUGUCGUUACCGGUGUAGCAUUCCAUCGUUAUCCUAGAGUUCUGAUAAUCAUCGCUCUUCAUGUCCUUUUCCUCGGUGUAGAAUGUGUAGUCGUUGAUAUCAUACGUGUCAUAGGUCAUCAGGUUGUGCUCGGCGCCCUAUGAUAAUGCGAAUAUGAGUUUUCCUUCCGCGGAAGAAUCCUCAUGUAAAGGGUACGACAGAAGCUUCUCCUUGAACGAACGCGUGAAACAUGAGUUGUGCUCUUUGAUUAUAUUUCCGUCCGUCCUCUGUUGGCCUCGGUCAUUGUACGGCUUCUCAAUAAAGGUUUUGUGCUCUACCACCCAAGGAUAGACCACGUCUAUGUGCUGUAGCACGACUAGGUUUGCUCUUUCAAAGUCAGCGAGUCGACCCUUGAAGUCGACAUGCAUUUCGCGGCGACCCUCGUGGUGACCCCAUCCAGCGAGCCUGCUGAGGUGCCUGUUGACGGGCAGACCAACCGGAUUCUCGAUGCCUAGAUAAUUCGUGUAGUAGGAGAUGCACUCUUCGGUCAGAAAGCCCUUGGCUAUGCUUCCCUCUGGACGUGACAUGUUGCGAACGUAUCCUUUGAUGACACCAUUCAUCCUUUCGAACGGCAUCAUGCUGUGCAGGAACGUCGGCCCGAGUUGGAUGAUAUCCUCCACGAUAUGGACCAGCAGAUGCACCAUAACGUCAAAGAAUGCGGGCGGGAAGUACAUCUCAAGCUCGCAUAGUAUCACCACGAUCUCUUCCUAUAGCCUUCUGAGCUGCCUCACGCACACCGACUUCCGAGAGAUGACGUUGAAAAAGUUGCAUAUGCCAAAUAGCAUUUCACGGAUGUGCGCGUCCAUGAUCCCAUGGAUUGCAAUUGGAAGUAUCUGCAUCAUCAGCACGUGACAGUCGUGAGACUUCAUCCCGCUGAACUUCUGCUUCGCUGAGUCUAGGUAUCGGCUUAUCUUCUCCGGUAACCGUAAGGAAGUUUUACUCCUACGAGGCAGGUGAAAAACUAUUCGUUCUCCUCCUAACUUAGAGUGAAGCACGUGGAAGGGCAGUCAUUUCCAAUCUUCUUGGCCUUUUUGCCUUUGCGACGACUUUCUGUGUCCUUCGCCUCAUCAUCAUCAUCAGCAGCAUCAUUAUUAGCGUGAAGCUCCUCCCUGAUGCCCAUUGAUUUCAAGUCUGCCCUUGCUUUCGGCCCAUGUUUGGUCCUCUCUGGCAUGUUGAGCAGGGUACCAAGCAGACUCUCGCACACGUUCUUCGUGAUAUGCAUGACAUCAAGGCUGUGAGGCACACGGAGGAUCUUCCAGUAUGGCAAGUCCCACGUAUUGGCUGGCGUUUUCCAUAGCUUGUCUAGCUCCUCUUUCAGCAGCCCUAAAUACAGAUUGAUGUCGUUCCCUGGAUGUUUCGGCCCUUCAAUUAGCAUACUCAUGUGAAUGUACUUCCUCUUCAUGCACAACCAGGGGGGAAGGUUGAACAUCCACACAAACACAGGCCAGGUGCUAUGUGUGCUUCUCUGGCUGCCAAACGGAUUGACUCCAUCGGUGCUCACGCCCAGCAUGAUGUUCCUUGGAUCGUCCCCAAAUUCUAGGUGUUCGAAGUUCAACGCUUGCCACUGGCUCGCAUCCUUAGGGUGACUCAGCAUCUUGUCUUUUUUAUUUAUCUCCGGAUCAUUUCCGUCAUCUUCUCGCUUUUUCUCCUCCCUAUACGCGUGCCAACGCAGGAGCUUUGCUACCUUAGGGUCCAUGAAAUACCGCUGCAGACGAGGAGUGAUCGGAAAGUACCACACCACUUUUCGAGGAGCUUUAUUCCUCUUCUUGUAUCGAGUGAUGCCGCACGCCGGACAUAUGGUAGACUCCGCGUGCUCGUCCCGAUAAAUGAUGCAAUUGUUCAUGCACACAUGAUAUUUCACGUGCGGUGAAUUCAGAGGACACACGAUUUUCUUCGCCUCCACGAAACUGGUCGGGCACUUGUUCCCCUUGGGAAGACGUUCGUGCCAGAAUGACAUGUUCUCGUCGAAGCAUGCGUCGUUCAUUUUGUGUUUUACCUUCAUCUACAGAGCCAUGAGCGUUACUUUCAGGCGGGUAUCCUCGGGCCUGCAUCCUUCAUACAAUGGAGUAACCGCGUCUAUCUCCAGUUGAUCCAGCUUGGCUUUCUCUCGCGCGGCAGCUCUUGCGUUAUCCGUCUGCUUGAGAAGCAGCUCUUGAAUAUGAGGGUCCUGCACCCAGCCCAUCGAUGGUCCAUCGUCGUCUGCUCCGUCGGUAUCUUCAUCUUCAUGAUCAUGCCCUUCGUCUGCUCCGGCAUCUUCCUCAUCAUCAUGUCCUGCAUCUUCUACAUGAUGACUGUGUACAACAUCACCGUCGUGAUCAUGUCCUGGAGAUUCUUCGUCUUCUCGCCCGCCCGAGCAGCGGUGGUUGUCUUGCUGCCCUUCCUCAUUUCUUGCCCGGCCCCCAUGGACGACUUCAUAAUCAUCUUCAUGACCUUGCCACCGAUAGCCAUCCAUGAAACCACGCAAGAGUAGGUGGCCCCGCACCUGUACGGAAUCCGGUUCCAUAAGGCUCUUCAGCUUGCAUCUUCAACACAGACAUCUUAUCUCCGUCUCAUUCUUUUGAAUCAUCUCGGGCUUCGCGGAGAUCAAAAACCUAUUCAUGAUGCCUUCGGUCAUCGUGCGGACCAUGGUCGCCUGCGGGGUAGAGCAAAGCAAUAUUUUAGAACCAAAAAAAAUUGGCAUGACUUUGCCUGAAAAUAGGACCAAAAAGAAUGCGUAGUGCCAAAUUCUUGCCGAAACGGAAAUGAAUCAACAUUCCGGCAAAAUAUUGGCAACUCGCAUUUCAAAUACCGGAACCUGCAAACACAAACAUAUGCAACACCACAAACAUAUGCAACACCACAAACAUACGUAGAUCUAGGCCAUAAAAAGUGCAUGUGCACGUUGUUGGAGGGAGAAAAAAGUAGAUCUACAACAUAAGCUUUCCCCUUACUUACCUAUAAAAAAAGGGAAUUUAAUCACUUAAUUUGGGUGAAUCUAUGGUGCAAAUGAGGUGAGGAGGAGGAGGCAGCCGAGACAAGCUUGAAAGAGGAGGUGGAGAGAAUGAAGUAGGGAAAGUGAGUGUGGUAGGUGGCUGUCCAAAAUAUCUAGCUGUUCUCAGGUUACCAAUGACGCACCACCUAAUAAUGCGCCAUUAGUAACCAGUUACUAAUGGCGCACCUGUUAUAUGGUGCGCCAUUACUAGUUUUGAAAAAAAAGUUGUUCGUAGUGGCGCACCGUGGUUGUGGUGCGUCAUUACUAGUUUGAACUAGUAAUGGUGCAAUAUCUCCUGGUGCGCCAUUACUAGUUUUGAAAAAAGAAAGUAAAAAAAUUGUUAGUAGUGGCGCACAGAGUGAGUGGUGCGCCAUUACUAGUUAAAACUAGUAAUGGCGCACUAUCCCCUGAUGCGCCAUUACUAGUUUUAAAAAAAAAUUGUUAGUAGUGGCGCCAUUAGUGAUAUGAACACUAAUGACGUACCUAUACAUGGUGCGCCACUGCUAUAUAGCAGUCGCGCACCACAUUUGUGGUGCGCCAUUAAUGUUCAUAUUAGUUAUAGCCCUUUUUCUAGUAGUGCUACCUUCUUAUCUCACAUGUAAAAAGAGAAGGUAAGAGGGAGCAUGUUAAAAUUUGCCAUGUAUAUGCAAUGCGUUCUUAUUGACGGAUGGAUGCGGUUGUGUCAGUGGUCGUGGUCGUCACCGCGUUGGUCUUCAUAUCUCCUCCUCCUUAUACUACUACGUAAUACAUUAGAAUUAGCGUUAGGUAAACUUUAGGUAGGAGACUGAUAAUAGACAAGGAUGAUGGCCUUGUCACGUUUGUUAUGUUAAUAUACAGUCAGGCUCAUUCAUACAAGGCUUGCCCCAGCACUGAGUUACAAGAAAUCAGCUUAAGAUAUCUUGCAAUCACACCAUAAUCAUACACAUAUGUGAUUUUUAUGCAAAUCCUUUCUUUGACCUACUACGACCAGCAACUACCGGCCUGCACAAUUUUCUAUCAUUCCAAAACAAAACGAGCUAUUGUACAACAUGGAGAUAAGACAAUUACAAGGGGAAGAGAUCUAAGAAGACAAAGUACAUAACCAAGAAAUAAGAAUUAUUGCUUAUAGAAAACAAUUUUUUUUGAAAAGGAGGAAGACCCCCGGCCAAGCCUAACAUCCAAGACCUGAGGCCCCGACCAAGCCACUUGCCGGCUAUGGGGCACACACCGGUCCGGCGCACACACAGAGGCCGCCGCAGCCAACUGCCACCAAUCCAUCUUCAGAGCUGUACUGACGCAUCAACCUUGCCUGGUCUAGCUGCUGUCGACGCCACCACGACGCCAGACAACGCCACCAUCAUGGACUCGUCCAUCAACACAAGCCUAGCAGCGAGACCCCGCUGCUCCAUGCCACUGAGACCCGCCAUUGUCGACAUGUCAGAUGCAACGCUGCUCCUCCUUUACGAACACCACAUGCAGCCACUGGUGCCAUCCCUCCACUCCCAACCGAGCCCCAAUGCCCCUGACGACGCCACCAAGAAGGUCACGACGCGAACAGCGCCGCUACCGCCAAAUUCAAAGAGGAUUGGAGGUUUUCACUCGGCAUGAGAUCGGGGUGGGUAGAUUGGGCCCUCAGCUGCGCCUUCAUGAAGGAAAGCGAAACCCAUGGGUGCCGCCGCCGCCGGGCUGGCCUGACCGGCCAAGGUUUCCCCCGGACACAAGGUACACCACCAGGGCUCACCAUCACUGAAGCCUGUAGCCGCAAACCACCGGGACGCCGAGAGAGGCAACAGGGGAAAAGGGAACCUCCAGAUCUGACGCCACGACACCAACCCACCGGAGGAUCACGGGCCACCCGAUCCAAUCCCCAGCAGCCCACCUGCCCCGCUGCGCCCGGACACGGAGGCCAACCCAAGGGCUGCCACCCCAGAUCCAGGGCCCUCCGCUCGAAAUCAGGCAGAGCAGAGCCAGCCUGCCGCCACGACCAUCACUGGGUCACCGGCCGGCCGCCACGCUGUUGUGCUCCAGAUGGAGGUCGCCGUGGGCCAAAUCGGUGCCGCCGCCAUCGAUAGGGGACUCGUCCUCAAGAUUGGGGAUCCCGCGCAUCCCGAUCCCCAAGUGAGAGGGCGAUGCCUCCGCGUCGCCAUCACAUGCACGGGCUUAGCCCGGCGCCAACCACCGGCGGCGGCGGAGGGGAGAGCGAGAAGGAGGAGGGGCACCGGCGGCGGAGGGUUGGGUCCCCUUGGUCACCCGCGCGGUGGGCGAUGGAGGGGAAGGGGGAGGGGGAGGGGGAGAGCUUACAGAAAACAACUACAUGUCACUAAGGAACAGAACGAGAGAUCAGAUAGAAAAGUAGAGAAAUGAGUAAACGGCUUGUUGCGUAUGCUUGCCCAUAGCAGAAGGUCAUCUCCACAACUAGGAAUAAGAACAGGGUAGUCCUCUUUUUUUUGUUAAAUCUUCGGGUUAUGGUGCUUCCAAAUAUUCCAAAGAAAGCAGAUGCACAACAAAGAGGGGACCUAUUUGGUAGAAAAUCGAGGCCGAGGACAAGCAAUCACAAGCAUAAAAUCAAUAUUUGUUGACAAGGUUUUGCAAACUAGUCUACUCACCAAGCAGGGUUACGAGAGCUCCUCCCCAGGUACUAAAUUGAGAUGACAAAUUCCACUAAGGCAAUCGAACAACAUGUCUAGCCAAUCACCACUACCGGUCAGGCCAUCCCUGCCAUGUCCCCCGCGCCUUCCCUCGUGUGAUUCAUGUCUAGACUACCAGUUUCGUCUAGUCUAUUUUGGCAACCCGUGGUGCCUUUAUAUGUUAGACCUUGGUUACGCGUAUUUGAUUCAAACACCUUACAUUCCGCAAAGUACAAGUCUAAUAAUAGUACAACUCUAACACAUAUUCGACAAAAUUCAAACAAACUUAUGACUCGUGAAUAUGUCUUCGUCAUCUUCAAGCUCCCAAGCAUGGACCACAAUGUACUAAAUUUGGACUUGAACCAUCAGGCAUGAUAGAGCAUGAUGAACAAAACAUACAUGAUAAUCGGACCAUUAUAAGUACUAAACAAUCUAGACAUGCAAUCUGAUAGAUAAGAAAGCAUAGGAUGUCCAUGUUGAUUUGUACUACGAAUACACCAAUGGAAAAGCCUAAUUAAAAGAAGCGAUAAGAGUACUUACGAGAUGGGUGUAGCAUAAGCAACGUUAGAUGCAGCGGCGGUGUCCUUAGUAUUGUGGUUGGACGGAGCCAACUAGUAGUCCAUGAACUAGUUGAUGGAGCAUGAACAUUCGAGUAAUCAUGGGAGUAGUAGCAGUAUUGUGGUCCCCAAAAACCUAAUCACCUCUCUCUUUUACAUGAUUGCAAGAGACGGGGUUCCGGAGGCCUGCUCCCUCCCCCUUCACGGUGCACGUCGAGAAGCAGGAUAGAGAAACUUAGAAGCGGCACAGUUCACAUAGACUUCAGUCAAAUAUUAAAAUUCCUUAUUCAGAUGAAACAUCAAAGUUAAGAGCCAACAUCAAAACAAAAGGAGCUCCACAUGUUGGUUCUUUGUCCAAUGAACUAAUUUUUCAUCCAGCACUAAACAAGCUUGUGCCAUGACACCAUCCAUGCAUAGAGUGGAAUACUUCACUUGCUAACUCUUCGGACGGUCUUACCCCCCAGUUCGACACUUCUUUAUUUUCCUGUUUCCUCUGCAAAAUUGGCCAUGAUUUAAUUCAAAACCCCACCAUGUUGAUCUUAGUACAUCGACAAUCAAUUUUCUUAUCAUCAAAACAAGCACCACUUCUAAUUAUUCAAAUGGUCAAGAAAACAUAAGCAAUUCCAACCAUUACUAGAUGUUUGACUUGCCUUGAAAAUCAAGAAAUCCAUGAAGUAAACGUUUAUUCGACUGAAUGUCUGAUUCAGAUACUCUAAAUGUAGAAGGCACACUGCAUAACAUUCCAAACUAGUUUUGCAAGAGAACACUUAAGGAAAAAGAUCAACUAUUUUAUCUAAACCACAAAAUUGACAUCUAUUUUCUUAUUGUUAAUCCCUCUUCAGGAUCAACAAUUAAGGAAAAAGGUGAUAAAAAUUUAUUCCCCCUUCUCGCAGCUUUUUCGGAAGUCCUUUAGGUAAAUCUCUGCAAUUUAACAUGAACGUGAAGUAAAAAUUAUGCUAUGGUGAUCAAAUAAGCAUCAAAUUGGAGUACUUACCUUAUGAAAUCACGUAGUGUUGCCGUGUGUAUCCUAGUUUUGCAGAGGCCGGGUGUGCGCUCAUUGUCAUUGUACCAAUUGAUGUUACAUUAUGAGUCAAUACAAAACGUCCUUUGUCGAGAAAAUGAAAUCAUGAUGCAAAAUGCAUAUAUCAAUAAUUAAUCAUUAUUGUUUCCAUAGCAUCGACACCACAUAUAAUGCAUGCAUGUACUCCCUCCGUUCCUAAAUAUUUGUCUUUCUAGCUAUCUUAAAUGGACAACAUACGGAUGUAUGUAGACAUGUUUUAGAGUGUAGAUUCACUCAUUUUGUUUCGUAUGUAGUCACUUGUUGAAAUCUCUAGAAAGACAAUUAUUUGGGAACAGAGGGGGUAUAUGUUAGUACAAAUUGAUAAUCCAUCUUGUCCCUUGUUAACAGGCACCAACUGGACAAGUGGUCACAGGGCAUGCCAUGACCAGGCCACUAUAGUCGUGAGACAUAUAUUAGUCAGAUGUUAUUCUACACUUUCAAGGAAGAAUAAGAGUCCGACGUUAGCACGCGCAAGCAUGCUAAGUGUGUGUGUAAGUUAAGUAUGUGAAACAUGCAUGAACUUGCGCCGAUUAUACUGUUAGCCGUUUUAGGUUUUGGAUUCAUCGGAGUCUUGCCACCGCUCUACCUUAGCUAGGGCAUCUUCUAGUCACUGAACCGCCGUCACACACGCCACUGUGAUAACAAAUGCAGACCUUGAUACCGAAUGCCAAAUUCCUGCUCGAAAGAAACUGGAUGAACCCACAGUACAUGUAUGUCACUAUUUCCUUUUAUUCAGUCGCCCAACAACAACCUGCACAUGGCUAGACAACAUAACCGGAGAAAAACUUUACUUGGCCGCAAUGUGGACUAGCACGCUUCUGGCCUACAAGCAAAGUACCUACGGAUUCCGUUGAGCCGAGUUUACAAAUUAACAUAUUGCAAUAUAAACUAGAGUACUUGACGCAAACACACCGCUUAACUUCGUCCUGGUCGGACGAUGUCGGAGAUCAGGUGGUCUCACCCCUUUGGAGGCUUACUCUCACUUUUUAUUCUUAGGCGGCAGCUUCCUGUUCUUCUUCUAAGUCAGCAUCGGGUUAUUCCUGGACUGCACCUGGUUCUUCUUGAACGACGGUGGUUUUGUCAACUGGGUACUGAUUGACGGUGCCUUGGUCUUGUUAGGGGCAUCCUUUGCAGGUUCCUUCCCCUUGCCCAUGACGCAAUCUCCUUCUCUUCUUCUUGACCACGUGCCGGCGUAACUCAAGUGUUUGGACCCACGUGUCAUACAUAGUUCAUUUUGUCCAUGUUAUAUUUAGAGUGGAACCAUGUAUCAGUACAAGACAUGUGUCACCGUUUCGACUAAUCCGUGUCGUUGUAGAUUUCUUUCAUUUCAAUCUAAUUCAUGCAUGACUUUUAACAUAUCUUCAAAGAAUACGAGCUGCUGUAUUCCUGUUGCUUUUAUUACUUUAAAAAUAUAAUCAAUAGAAGUUCCUGGUUAGUUCAUUUAGAUUCAGUGGCACACAUACAUGGUUUCGACAGUAAAGCUAGUAGCUUAUACAAUAUUCCGCGGCCGGUGUCCAUCAGAGGUAUAGAUACCACUAACGGGACACAUUACAACACCGCCCAAUGGCCUUCUCUCUUGUAGUGAUGGACUCUUUUGUCAUUCGUUCUGUUGUAACCAUGAGUGGGACAAGAUACUCGAUUUGCCUAUCUUAGGAUUUGUUGAAUGCAAGGUGGUUAAGGGAGGUUCUUAAAGAAAUAAACCAACUUUUUCUUUGUGCAUCAAUUCUUGUUCAUAGAGGGCAGAUGCUUAAUUAGGCAUCCCUUCUAUAGAGAUAACCGAUGGUGCUUAAACAAGAAACUUAAAGGUUUUUCCUUUAGAAUCAGCGGACGUUCAUAUACAUGAAUUUACACUCCCCUAUGAAUUCACACACGCACACUCUAUCCCUUAUGAGCACCUCUGAGAAAUUGAACCAACAGGUUGCGAGAUUGACGAAGUCAUGACCUGUGCAUCGCUGUCGAUGGGUCGUCGCUUACAGCGAAAGAAUAAGUCGUUAAACCCAGAAAUAUAUCGGGAAAACUGCAAACACCCUUCUCAAGUCAAGGACUUGAACCAGGUUGGAUAGCUUCCACCACAAGGAACCUAACAAACUGUGCUACGCUCAAUUCACCGAAGAGAUAAUGGUUGCGGUUUAUUAACCCUAUAUGUAUGUCUUUUUCGGCUCUUUCUUCUUAUUCAACUUCCCAACAAUAACCUCCCACAUGACUCAUAACACAACACAAGGAAAAAAAGGACUUCAUUUGGCCGCAACGUGAACCAGCACGCUUCUGGCCUAUAGACAGACUGGCUACGGAUUCUACAGCAGUGAUCGGAUCGAAUCAAAUUUACAAAUUAACUUACUGUAACGCAAACGGAGCUACUCAACAUAAACACACAUAACUUCAUCCUGGCCAGUGGACGUCGAUCACUGCGCGGCUGUUGUCACCUCUUUCGAGGCUAAUUCUUCUUAGACGGCGUCGUCUGUUUCAUCUGCUUCUUCUGAGGCAGGAGCGACUUCCUCCUAUGGGCUGUCUUCGUCAAUUGCGUAUUGCUUGACGAUGCCUUCACCUUCUUUGGGGGAACCUUUGCAGCUUGCUCGCCCAUGACAAGAUUUGCUUCUUUUCUAAUAAUUCUUCUUCUCCAGUGGUAGCUGAGGUGAGGUGGAUAUAGUGUUUACUUUGCUCUGGUUGGGUUGAGGAAGCCUGCAGCAAUGGCUCCAUAUAUAUAGGAGGGGGAAGGUCUUUGAGAAAGCGCUUCGGCCAGACAACACGCUUCCACCGUGUGUGAGAAUUAUUUGGUGGCAUUAAUGUUUCUUGUGCCAGUCUGUUCUCUUUUGGGGAGUAGAUAUGCAUUAUAUUCAAUGCAUAUUAGUUAAGGAUCGCUGCUCAAUGGUUUGGUCAAUGGUUGGGUAUGCGGUUGGGUCAAAGGUUGUGGUCGCUGCCGCGUUGGUCUUUGUUUCUUCUCCUCCUGCUCCUUAUAUUACUACUACAUCAGAAUAAGUGUUGGUGGUUCAGUUUUGGUAGCACACGCCAGACACACAGAUGGCUUGUUAGUUGUUAGCAAGUACACACGAUGUUGCCGUUGCAUGGGAUGUUUUGCUAGAGCUUGAGUUUACAUUAGCCAAACCAAUUGGUAUCAUGUACGACAAAUCUUGUAUAUAUGUUUUGGUAGAGCUUGAGUUUAGAUUAGCUAAACCAUAAUAACUUUGUAUAUUAGUUAGGGGUCGAGUUGACAAGAGAGUUAUUUACCCAGGUUCAGACCUUGUGAAGGAGAACAUUAAUCAAAUUAUAUUUCAUGAGCUGGCCAGUAGGCAAAGAUCAUGUCAAGGUUAAAAAAUGAAUAGGAAUCGGCCGGCGCACGCACAAGCUGCCUAGCUUCGUCGACCUUCUCUUCUUUAUUUAAUUUACUCCUCCUGCUACCACGGCAUCUCGUUAACCACUAAUAUUGGAGCAAGCUAAGUAUGUUAAUACCGCUACAUAAGAACACCACUCAACCACUCGCUAGAGUCUUCCCGCUGCUCAAUUACUAGCGCACUACCUUGAGCUGUCCCGCUUGUUUCUCCUUGGUGGUAAUGCUAAAGAAUAUUGCAAGAAACUGGAAUGAACACGCAAAAGACAGAGGUAGUUCAGCAACGUGUUAAUUAAUCACGUGUACGUCUUUUCUGACUCAUUUCUUUUAUUUGGUCACCCAAUAACACCAGAAAAACACAAAUAGCCACAACAUGAACUGGCACACUUAAUGUUUUUGCAGGAAAAACUCUCGUAAUUCAAACAAAAAAAUUUCAAAAAAAUAAUUCAAAAAAAAUCCUAAAAUUUCCUUUAGUCCCGGUUGGUGUUACCAACCGGGACUAAAGGGCCAGGGCAUUAGUACCGACCCUUUAGUCCCGGUUCAUGAACCGGGACUAAAGGCCCUCACCAACCGGGACAAUAGGCCCUUUUUCUACUAGUGUCACUUAGUUCCGAGAUACAAGGCCAUUUAUAAAAAAAUCUAAGAAAUACAGUUUACCACUAUUUGAAUUAAUAUUGAAAAUUGCAUUUUUUUUGGAAUGUUGAAAUACUAUGAACAAAAAUCUAAUCAUGCGUGUUUUGUUUUGACAAAUCCUUGCAUACAUUUAAAUUGAUAUUAGAAUCAAAUAAGCUUUCUAUCUAAAAUUGUGAUUUAUUUGCUUCCAAGUCAUCAUAUUCUCGUUUGAGAAUGUAAAUAUUAUUACCUUCUCCUCUAUGCUUUAAUCUCUAUUGUCUCCUCUUAUUCAGUUCAUAGAUCGUAUGUCUCCUUCAUGUAAUCACAUGUACUCACACCAUUAUAUUAUUUAAGUUUGACCGACAAUAUGACUAUAUCUAAUGGUUGUGUAUGUGAGUGAGGUUGCUCGUUCUCAUCCACCUAGGUAAUCUUUUGGAUUGGCAUGGCUGUUCUGUCAUAUUGUUGAAGUAGAUGCAUAUGUGUAUAUUAUUGUGUAAAUGCUCACCGGCACCAAGAGAGAAUGUGAAACUUCCAAUAUUUUUCAUGGGCAACAUAUAAAAGAUAAGCUAAGUUGGCCCUAUAGCGCAGAUAAAUGUCACUAUAUCCCGUUAGAAGCACUAAAUUGUACAUAUGUGUUGUUUAGCAGGAUUCUAGAGGUUAUAGCCGCGGAAAACAUUCAACACACAUCUCUAUCCAAUUGUGAUAAUCAUACAUGCUAGCACAUUAUUAGACAUAUCUGUAGUAUGCUAAGUGUAACAAUAUGGCCUCUUCUACUUUGUUGAAGCAUCGUAUCAUGUUACAAAUAUAACGAAAAAUCUUCAAGAUCCGCUUGUAAAUCCCCAAGUACAUAAAUUCCCAUUCAAUUUAGAAGUCCGACAAGAUGCCAAGGUCGGCUCAUUGGGGGCAUUCCUCAAGUAUGUUACAUGACUUGACUAUAUAAUUUUAUUUCCCAUGCAGAGGUAGAAGAAAACCGUCCUCAAUAUUGUCUCCUCUUAUUCAGUUCAUAGAUCGUAUGUCUCCUUCACGUAAUCAAAUGUACUUACACCAUUAUAUUAUUUAAGUUUGAUCAACAAUAUGACUAUAUCUAAUGGUUGUGUAUGUGAGUGAGGUUGUUCGUUCUCAUCCACCUAGGUAAUCCUUUGGAUUGGCAUGGGUGUUGUGUCAUAAUGUUCGAGGUAGAUGCAUAUGUGUAUAUUAAUUGUGUGAAUGCUCACCGGCACCAAAAGAGAAUGUGAAACUUCCAAAAUAAAUCAUGGGCAACAUAUAAAACAUAAGCUAAAUUGGCCCUAUAGCGCAGAUAAAUGUCACUAUAUCCCGUCAGAAGCACUAAAUUGUACAGAUGUGUUGUUUAGCAGGAUUCUAGAGGUUAUUACCACGGAAAACAUUCAACACACAUCGAUAUCCAAUUGUGAUAAUCAUACAUGUUAGCACAUUAUUAGACAUAUCAGUAGUAUGCUAAGUGUAACAAUAUGGCCUCUUCUACUUUGUUGAAGCAUCGUAUCAUGUUAAAAAUAUAACGAAAAAUCUUCAAGAUCUGCUUGUAAAUCCCCAAGUACAUAAAUUCCCAUUCAAUUUAGAAGUCCUACAAGAUGCCAAGGUCGGCUCAUUGGGGGCAUUCCUCAAGUAUGUUACAUGACUUGACUAUAUAAUUUUAUUUCCCAUGCAGAGGUAGAAGAAAACCGUCCUCAAUACUGGAUCCAUCCAGAGGUGGCGGCAGUUUACAACCUCACAUCGACUGGAGACUAGCAUCGCCCUUGGAAAUGCCCUUGUAUUGCUGCUAACGUAUUUCUCAUUUCCCAAUAAACUGGAUGCAUUCAUGGAACAUGUAUGCCAAUCUUUCCUUUUAUUCAAUCACCCAACAACAACAUGAUGCACGACUCAACAACACAUGUAAGAAGAAACUAUACUUGGCCACCACGUGAACAAGCACACUUAUGAUUUACAUACUGAGGUUACUAAUUUAGAUAACACAACAUAAACUGACGUACAAGACAGAGACACAAUUGACUUCAUCAUUGCCAGACAACAUGGAUGAGAACGCGGCUGCUCUCACCACUUUUGAGGCCACUUCUUAUUUCUUAGGCUGCGGCUGCUUCUUCUUAGCCAUCAUCUCUUUUUCUGAGUCAGCCUCACGUUUAUCCUACGGUUACGCCCCUUCUUAAGAUUCCUUCGUUGUGCCCCCGGCUUAUUGGUUGACGGUUGCGUUGGCCUGUUAGGGGGAACCGUUGUACCUGGAACCUUUGGACCUGACUUGUCCAUGACGCCUCCUCCCCUCCUCCUCCUCCUCCUCCUCCUCCUCCUCCUCCUCCUUCUUCUUCUUCGCUUGUGCAAGGUAGGUGAGGUGAGGUGGAUGUGGUGUUUGUUUUGCACCGGUUGGUUUGUGGAAUCAUGCAGCAACGGCGCGCGCAUAUAUAUAGGAGGAUUAAGGACUUGGCGAAGCGCUCUGGCCGUACAAGGUGGUUUCAUUGAAGGAAAAUGAUUUGGUGGCAUCCCCCGUGCUGCUGUUAGUCAGUCUCUUUUGUGUCGUUUUGGGGAGUAGAUAUGUAUAUUUGAUUCAUUUGUUAUGGGUGGAUAAGUAUGCAGUUGAGUCAGUGGUCUUCGUUGCUGACAGUUGGUCUUCAUUUCUUCUUCUCAUCCUCCUUGUACUAUAGCUACAUCAGAAUAAGUGUUGGUGGUCAAGUUUUACUAGCAUAUACCACACGGCUUGUUACUUGUUAGGCCAUCUUCAACGGCUAUCCGUGGACAAAGAGGAUCAGUCCGCGGACACAAAUUUAGGAGCCGGCUAUCCAACGCUGCACCAUACAUUUGAAACACUUUGUCAACAAAGCAGAUGUACCUCACUCAGACACAUCAGAUUACAUAUAAACCUGGUGAAAACAUUUAUAUUUUUGACAUAUUCUAACUAAAAAACUAAAACUAUGUGCAUGUACCACCACACGGAGGUCCACUACCAUGACACGGAUACAUUACACUAGUCUACGAUCGGCCGCGGAGUGUCCCUUUGUCUUCCCCUUGUCAGGCAGUCUGGUGACUCAUCGGAUUGCUGGGAGCCCCGGAGGUAUAUUCCUCCCCUGUAUCUUCCCUAUGUCUGGCUGCGCCGCUUAUCGGAGUGGCAAAGAGGGUGCUUCAGUCGGAAGGGAAGGGGGAAUCCGCUUCCGUGAAGCGCGGAUCAGGGUUGGUUUUUGGGGCAGGGGAAGAUGGUGGCCUGCGAGACAGGGCGAGACAUUUGGUGUGCAUGCGGCGAUGCUGCGGCGGUGGCCUUCUAAGGACCCAAGUGGCGGCGGGCUCCCAUGUUCUACUUUUCCUCGAUUUUGUCGGCAAACGCGGACAUGCUAGCCGCCGCCUCGUCGAUCUCCACUAUAUAUGAGAUGCCUAGUAUAUAAGUGUCCUACUAGGACACGACUUCAUAUUCUAUCUAAACACAAUACUACUCAGAGUCCAACUGUAACCUAUCUUAUACACAAUAUUCCAUACAACUCUAACAACUCCGGCUGGGUCAAGGAAACCUCAUGCACGGCCGGCUGGAAGACGCGCUUCCACCAUGGAGAAUGGUUUGGUGGCGUUCAGAGUCAGUCUCGUUUGUUUUGUUCUGUUUUCAGGAGUAUGUAUGCACAUUCGAUGCAUUUGUCAUUGACGGAUGGAUGCGGUCGGGUCAAAGGUCGUGGUCGUCGCCGCGUCAGUCUUCACUUCUCCUCCAUCUCCUCUUCCUUAUACACCUACAUUAGAACUUGCGUUAGGUUAAGUUUAGGAAGCAUACAGAAUUUCUUUUAGUUAUAAUCAAAUAGAUUAAGAUAUCUUGCAAUCACACCAUGUCAUAGGCACAUGUGAUUUUCAUGCAAAUUAUUUCUUUGACCUGCUAUCACCAGCAACUGCCAGCCUGAACCAUUUUAUAUCAAUCCAAACCAAAACGAGCUACCUGUACAAGAUGGAGAUAAUUGCAACAAAUUCGGACCGUGUACGUCUAGUGCAUCUGUUGAUAGCAUUUAACCUGCCAUGAUUCUUUGAGGAUGCAUGUUGGCCUAUGCAUCCUUUGAUUGGAUGGACUUCUCUAAAUAUUCACUACACAAGUCAGUCAUUCUCAGAAGUGGACGGUCCAGCGAAUUUGGAAGGGUUAAGAGCAUGGUUAAUAGUAUAGCCAGCUGCUAUGUCAUCUACAGCUCAUUUUAUAGUCAAUAUGUACAAUAUUAGAUCAAAAGAGUGUACUACUUUUUUAUUAUGUGGUCCACCUUUCAUUCUCACAAAGUGCCUAGGAGCACGUGCUAGAGCUGCCUCUUCAUGAAGAGCCCGCUUACCUUCUUUCUCCUCUUCUCUUUACUCCAACUAAGCAGAAAUAUACUAGUUUAUUCCUUAUAGCCCGCUGACUCAGCUCUAUUGUACUUGCUCUAAGGAAAGAAAAUUAUCUAUUGGCUAUGGCUGAGACUAAUUCUGACUGCUGUUGUUGAUGUGUCUGCUAAUUUGGCAUAAUUCCUCGCUUGUCCAAUUGCAGCAUCUCGCUCUAGUAGUAGUCCAAGUCUCUCAGCCUCAAAUACGAUGCAUAUGAUUAUUUUAAUAGAAAAACCUGUUGGCGUGUUGCGUCAAAUGGCACAGACCGGCCAAGCUGGGCCGGCCCAUUAAGAUGUACAGUUGUUCUCCGUCUUGGGGAACCUUUCGGAAGGUUCCAGUCUGGUUUUCACCGUUUUUUGUUUUUCUUUCCUGGUUUUCAUUUUCUUUUUUUCUUAAAUAUUGGUCUUUUUGGUAAAAAAUAUCUGUUAUAAAAUAUCAAAUUGUUCAUGUUUUACAAGUUUAUUGGAAUUUCUAAAAAUGUUUUCACUUCCAAAAAUUCUUCACAAACUAAAAGAUGGUCAUGUUAUUAUAAAAAAUGUUUGUAAUUUUUUAAAAUGUUCCUGUAUUUAAAAAGUGUUCACAAAUUCAAAAAAUAAUCAGGAACUUCAAAAAAUAUGUUUAUUGUUCAUUUUUUAAAGGCACAUCUUCCAAAAAAAUAGAUUCUUCAUAAUAAGGUUUGUGUUUUAAAAAAAACAAAUCCACCAAAAAUAUGUUUACUAUGGGCAUUUGGGGCAUGUUUUGGGGUGUUGUAACGGGGCUUCCACCCUGCUAGUGCAUGUUCUAUGCUGGUUUCAGUCUAACCCGCCAAAAGUGUUUCCUAUUGUACUGCUUGCUUUCUUUCUAAUAAAGAUCGGCCAAGGGCCCUUCGAGAAAAGAUCUUCCCCUUUAAUGGCGGAUUUGGUUUUUUAAUGGGAGGAAGAACAACAUACCAGGCUACCAACUCUCCCAUUAAGAGUAGAGAUUCCCGAGAAGCCGCUGGCGCUAGAUAUAUGACCGCAGCCAGGCGAGAAAGACGCGGGAUUCUAGAUGGGGAUAAGGAACAAUAUUGGUGGAGAUGAAGAAGGGUUGGACGAAACCAAAAUUAACAUAUCCUUGUCAAAACAAGAAACCAAAAUUAACAUAUGAUGAUGAAGGAAAGUACAGGGGAUGUGUGGGUAAGGGAAGGAAAGCAAAUAAUUGAUUGAAUCGGCACCAGGUUUUGUUGGGACACACGUGAUUUCUUGUUAUGAUGUUCGCACUUGGGAGAAGCAGAACAUAGCGAGCUAGAAUGGUCAUGCCAGCUGCUGCUUAGACAGGCAUCUCCGGCGUGCUGGGAAUCAAUGUCCCGACAUGCUCGAAACAGGAGGGCGCUGCACCGUGUUGGAACUGGACAACCACCAUGUUGUAACUGUGGUUGAACACUAGUGGUGGGGACAGAUGCGAGGGACCUGUCCUGUGAGGGCGGCAACACCACGGCGAGCGGUAGCUAGCCGGUAGUGCUUCCAGAAUCGGUCGGCGCAUGUCCAUCGCAAGUAUAGUGGCGCUAGCUAUCGACUCUUUUCGAUCAAAUGGGAAGGAGCGAGCACUGUGUGAGGAAGGAGACGAAGAGAAGAAGAAUCGAAACGUGCCAGUGGGGCCAAUCCGGCUGGCACCAAGCGACCAACCAAAUUUUGGGCAAGUCGACCGGCGCCUAGCGCCGCCCUUGGAAAUGUCAUUGUAUCGAUGCUAACGUAUUUUUCAAUGUACUGGAUGCACUCAUGGAACAUGUAUGUCAAUCCUUCCUUUUAUUCAAUCACCCAACAACAACCUGAUGCACGACUCAACAGCACAUGUAAGAAGAAAGUAUACUUGGCCGCAACGUGAACAAGCACACUUAUGGUUUACAUAUUGAGGUUACGAAUUAACCUGCCACAACAUAAACUAACGUACAAGACAGAAACACAAUUAACUUCAUCAUUGCCCGACAACAUGGAUCAGAAUGAAAAAAAAUAAAAUAUAGUAAAAAGAACAUGGAUCAGAACGCGGCUGCUCUCACCACUUUUGAGGCUAUUUCUUAGUAUUUCUUAGGCUGCGGCUGCUUCUUCUUAGCUAUCCUCUGUUUUUGCGAGUCAGCUUCAGAUCUUUCCUACGAUUACGCGACUUUUUAGGUUUCUUUGGUUGUGCCUUUGGCUUAUUGGGUGGCGGCGGCGUUCGCCUGUUAUGGGGAACCGUUGUACCUGGAACCUUUGUACCUGUCUUCUCCAUGACGCCUCCUCCUCCUACUCCUCCUCUCCCUCCUCCUCCUCCUCUCCUUCUUCUUCUUCUUCUUCUUCUUCUUCUUCUUCUUCAUCUUCUUGUGCGAGGUAGAUGAGGUGAGGUGGAUGUGGUGUUUGUUUUGCACCGGUUGGUUUGUGGU